UUCCGGCGGUAAUUUCCGUUCCUUUUUUUUGGAGGGGGUGGGGGUUAAUCUCUAUGACCCGAGUAUUAAAAGGAAAGAGGCCCAAGUGGAGUGAAAUGUAUUUGGGGUUGAUGCCUAAUUGUUGUUAUUGUUAAGAUCUGGAUGACAAAGUUUAGAUCUGAUUGCUUAUUUCCCCCUGUUCUUAGUUCGACAUGCAAGAACCCUUUCAUUUGAUUUCAUUAAGAAUCCUUCAAUAUUGACAAUUCGUUUAGGUAAUAAUGGUGAAGAUUUUCGGAAAAUGCUUACUAAUGAAAUGACUGAAUGUAAAUCCUUACUUUAGCUAAUUUCAUUUGAGAUAAGAAACGCCUAUAUGCGUACAACACCACUGAUAGGUGCAAUUUUGUUUGUACCAUCUAUGUCUCACUAUCCAUAUCUCUUUGGGUUAUUCGAAUCCUCUAUUUUCCGAUUCUCCCCCAGAAUAUAUUGCCAUUAUAUCUGUCCUCAAGUCCAAGUGAGAUUUUUAUCAUGCACUUCGCCCACCGAGAAUGUUUUCUUUCUUUUUAUUGUUCUUUGAAGUGAGAAUUGCUCUUGUCCUUAAUUUAUUUGAUAACAAGGAAACAAAUAAAAAUCAAAACUUUGUUUGCUAUUGAGCGUUCUCUUUAUGUGGCCGAGAAAGUAUUUUCGAUACUUCUUUAUCUUUUCCUUGUAUAGGUGAAGAUGGAGAUGCUUGCAAAUUUUGUAAUUUGAUUUUAGGUUGACCUGGUUGCUUUUAUUAUUUUACUGGAUGUGGUUUUGUUUUCUGAUUUUAUAUUUGUGGUCGACGUUAAAGAGAAUUGGCUGCUGAGUCUAUAUACAAUGAGAGGUGCAUAGCUGUGGAUGAUGGCCCAAGUUGGGCCAAAUACAUGUCGAUCUGUGGUUCCGCUGAUGAUGAAUAUGAUAUCAUCACUUUGCAGUAUACUGAGGAGGGCUUGCUAACUGUAGAUGAGAAC
rnacentral:lncRNA from 1 species